rnacentral:misc_RNA from 1 species
GAUGCUUGUUGAUAAAUGUCUUGGUAUUGCGUUAGUCAACCAAUUUAAUGUCAAUGAGGUCUGUAAGUGUUUCAUCCACUGGGGAACUGGAACAGUUAAUCUGGAGCUGUGGUCUGAAGAUAGGCCUGUUUCAAGGCACUCUCCUCUCAUAAUUUCCCAUCAAUAUGAAGUUAGAGGAACCUCUUAGUUGCUUGUAUUAUCAAUUGUACUUGUAAAACUUCUGUCAGAAUAAGCUGUGUGCUAUAACACUAUGCAACUUGGAAUUCUAUUAUACAACCAGAAACUACUAAGUAUGUGUGUGGAACUUUUGGGGAUUACCCAAAGAGAUUGCUUUAUCUACAAACA